GGAUCUCCUCCUGCCUGACUGCCUUGAACUGAGACAUCCAUCUCUUCCUGCCUUUGGACUCAAACUGAAACAUCGUCUCUGCUUGGGUCUCGAGCCUGCAGGCGUUCUGACUGGAGCUCACACCACCAGCUCCCCUGGGUCUGCAGCCUGCCAAAUGUGGAUCUUGAGACUCUCCAGCCUCCAUCAGCACACAAGCCAAUUCCUUACAAUAAAUGUCUCCUAUUGGUUCUGUGUCUCUGGAGGACCUUGACUAAUACACUCAGUGUGUGACACAAAGUAGGUAUUUGAAUGUUUGCCAAACCUGGAUUUGAAUCCAUGGGGAGUUGACAAGCCCUUCAAGGCUUUGAAGGAAGUAUGGUGGCAUAUCAUGAUGGAUGAUUUAGGAGUCUAAGCAGCUUAGCAGCGUGGGAUGGAGGGUCAAGUGUUGACGGGGUGGGUGUGGGAGCAGAGCCCAGUCUGUCAUCUCCCUCCACCAAGGAUGGUUCCUGGAGGCAGGAUGAACACUGGGACCUACCCUUUAACCCGGGUGACGCCAUCAGGCACACAGUUCACCAGCCCAGAGAGAAUCCAUGGAGUUUCAUGGAACCUCUUGGUAAAACUGGGUUCUAGUCUUUACCUACCACUUGGUAGAACCAGGGCAGGUUGACUUAAGAAUCCUGGGAGUCAGGGAAGUUACGUGUAAAGUGGUGAUGAUUCUGCACUUACUGCACCUGUCAUAAUAAUGCAGCGGUCUUUGUAAGGAUCAGAAGAAGGUGUGAAAGGUCUUUAUAAGCCACUAGGCCCUAUAAAAAUGUAACCUAUGACUAUUCUUGUUCUAACAGAAACAAAGGAGCUGGUCUGCAUUAAUCAUGAAGAAACAAAAAUCAGAACAAAUUGAUGAGGUGUCUGAGAAUAAACCACUGGCAGAGUUUCUCAGAGCACUGAGAGGGACCUUCUGGCCCAGGGUCACCAGCAGUGCUGACUGCUGAGCCACUUCAGAGGACCAAAGCAGGACCCCUGGGAGGAGUGAUGAGUUAACCCUAAAGUUUGGCAUCUCUCAGCUCUGCCCUUUCAAGGGAAUGCAGUGCUCCUGGAUGUGCCAGUGAGGGUGAAACCGGUAUUCUACGCUGAUCUUUGGGAAGGAAAGGAAAACAAGGGUAUUUACUGUGAAGCAUUAAAAAAUUAGAUCCAAAGCAUGAAACUAAAGCAAAAUGUGUAAACAGCCACCUCUCCAUGAAAUAGCUCUAUUUUACAGAACGUAUCAUUCUGUAUUUGUAGAGGAUCAAUGUAGGUUGAUAACUAAAAUAAAUACCAAGCUU
rnacentral:lncRNA from 1 species